rnacentral:lncRNA from 1 species
UGUGCCCCACGCGCCAGUGGCCGAGGCACCUCAUCCCACGUGGCAAGUGGAGACGGCUUUCCUAGAGUACGUCUCCUCUUUUCUGAAAGCGUACUUUCAUUCUACUUCAACCAAGAAUAGGUUUGCUCAGUCUGAAAACGUAUUUCUCCUUAUGCGCUUUCUGUUUUUCCUCCCAGGGACCCGUUGGUGAUAAUUUUUUCACAGAUUGGUCCCUGAUCUUCAACUCCUCAUAACUCCGCAACCGUAACUCCGAUUGAGGUGAAACCAACGCUCACUUCUUCGUCUCGUCGGGCUCUAUCUUUUGGUAACAUUUUCAUCAGGUGGUUUCAUAGUGAAAAUGACCAUUUUGCCCUUGCCUCUAAUCAGCCCCCUCCAAGAAAGAACCGUCCGACGUUUUGUUCCGCGGCUUCACCGCACUUCUUCCUGGAGUGUCUGUCACCCUAGGCAAGCCACAAUACCCACUUGCAUGAUAGUCAUGCAAUAGCCAUGGUUUUCAACUUGAAUAUUUAUUAAAUGUUUGCUUGUUUAAAAUAUGGUUAUUGUUGUUUCGGUAAUGAUUCUUGGCUAGUGCUUACUUUCUUGCUAUGUUGUUAUGCACCUGGUUGUCAUGCCCUGCUAGUUGCUAGUAUUCCUUUCAUAUGCUUAUGCAUGAUAGUAGUACAUGUUGAUGUUGGUAAUGGUCUUCGGUGCAUGACUGCCGUUUGUCCCGAGUGUCAUUGUUAUGCAUGUUCCAUUGCAUCCAGUUGGUUAAAUGCUUGCAUGAUAGCAUUGUUGAUAUGUUCUUGUAUGAUAUUUAUUGUUGAUGCUAGUGGUCAUGCUAUGUUUUGGAGAAGUAUGUACUUAUGAUGUUCAUGCUAGUCAGUAUGCCAUGCUUACUUGGAUAUGAUACAUUGUUGAUAUGGUGGAUAGUUAUGUUGUACCCUCAUGACUAUGUUGAUAUCAUGCUCAUGCAUUGUAAUUGCAUCAUGUAUUUUAUCGUGGCUCAAGAUAUUUGCAUUCAAGUUUAACCGGAUUAAACUGAACUUGAACACCUGUUGGCUGAGUCAUGGUGCCACCAUAUCAAACUGACCAGUGCAACCACGCUUACCUUUAUGGGAAGGUCCUAACUGGGUCUAUUGUCAUCCCUCUCGCCGGUGCCUCCAACUAGGGAAGGUUAUGGGCAUGCGGUACCCUAGCCCGGUAAGCAGACAUAACCUUGUGUGCCCGUUGUUGUUAUUAUGGAUUCGGUCCCCGUGAGGGACGUUUUGGCCACGACGGUGGUCGUUGUGUCUUUGGUAGACACGGGGCCACCCAGGACUAGCCCAGUUGGGAGUGGGUCGGAGUGGCCGGGAGAGUGUCAUGGCAAUAGAUCGGUUUUGUCGGAACGCCAUUGGUCCACCCGAAUGGGAGUGCGAGGCCAUGGGUUCCGUAGUGUGGGUACAAUGUACUAACCUCUGCAGAGUGUAUAUUAAAUCUAUCGAUAGCCGCGCCCGCGGAUAAGGGCCCAGUUCGUAGUUGGUCACACCAUGUGUCAACAAUAAUAAUAAUAAUAAUAGUAAUAAUAAUGUGCUUAAUAACAACCAUGGUGCGAUGAGGAGAUAAGUUGGUUGUGAUCGCCGGAAGGAUCACUGUUUGAGACCAAGUGUUGGUCAGGGUUGUGAUCGCCGGAAUGAUCACCGUGGUAUCGAGGAUACCGAGUUGUUGGAUAUUCAUGAUGUUGUGCGAGAAUUAUGGGUAAAGAUCAAGCUCCUUGUGGUCAUUUGAUGAUUACUACGGUAUUGUUUAUACCAAGCUUGAUUUGAUCCUGAGAUGAUUGUGUAAUGUCCAAAGUUGGUAAGUAAUGCAGGUGAUGGUUACGAGGUAACCCGAGCAGAAUAAAUGGUGCAUAUAGUGUCAUCAUGUUACAUCCUAGUAUCAUCAGAUUUAUAUGUUCAUGCCAUGAUCAUAUUGUUCUAGCAAUAUUGUGUUCAUGUUGUUCAUGCCAUGUUAUCCUGAUGAUCUCAUGAUAAUUCCUGCUUAACCUAUAAUUGCCAGGUUGUUGUUUGUCUUGAAUGCUUCUAGUUAUUGUGAGCUUGCAAGUACAUUCAAUGUACUGACCUGGCGUGUCAUGCCAGUUUGCAGGUCGUGUCUAGAUUGCUUGCUUGUUUGGUGUUGUUCCCGUGUUCGCGAGCUAGGAUAAACGUUCCAGCCAGAGUCCCCGUGGAUUGGAGUCCAUCAUCGAUGUUCGUUGUUCCACUGCCAGUAGUUGUUCCGCUGCUUCAAGUUGUUAUGCUGCUUGUAUAGAGCAACCGUGGUUGGCGUAGUGUCGUCGUACCGAUGUUAUUCAUUGUAAUAUCAGAACCCUUGUAUUCAUAUUUGUGUUGUAAUAGAGAGCUAGUUUGUUCUAUACUAAGCAGUGUCGUAUGCUAGAAGACUUCACCUCGAUCUCUGGGCUGGAAUACAGGGCGUUCCGGUUUUCUCUGAGACGGGGUGCCACAGAUAAACAUCACAUGCAAUCAAUAUAAGUGAUAUGAUAUGGCCAUCAUCAUCUUG